rnacentral:rRNA from 1 species
CCUACGGGAGGCAGCAGUAGGGAAUCUUCCGCAAUGGACGAAAGUCUGACGGAGCAACGCCGCGUGAACGAUGAAGGCCUUCGGGUCGUAAAGUUCUGUUGUUAGGGAAGAACAAGUGCUAGUUGAAUAAGCUGGCACCUUGACGGUACCUAACCAGAAAGCCACGGCUAACUACGUGCCAGCAGCCGCGGUAAUACGUAGGUGGCAAGCGUUGUCCGGAAUUAUUGGGCGUAAAGCGCGCGCAGGCGGUUUCUUAAGUCUGAUGUGAAAGCCCCCGGCUCAACCGGGGAGGGUCAUUGGAAACUGGGAAACUUGAGUGCAGAAGAGGAAAGUGGAAUUCCAAGUGUAGCGGUGAAAUGCGUAGAGAUUUGGAGGAACACCAGUGGCGAAGGCGACUUUCUGGUCUGUAACUGACGCUGAGGCGCGAAAGCGUGGGGAGCAAACAGGAUUAGAUACCCUGGUAGUCCACGCUGUAAACGAUGAGUGCCUAAGUGUUAGAGGGUUUUCCGCCCUUUUAGUGCUGAAAGUUUAACGCAUUAAGCACUCCGCCUGGGGAUACGGUGCAAAGCNGAANANAAGAAGUAGAGCGNGAGAGNGCGAGAGACGACGAGGAGAG